rnacentral:rRNA from 1 species
UACGAAGGGGGCUAGCGUUGUUCGGAAUUACUGGGCGUAAAGCGCGCGCAGGCGGUCUUCCAAGUCAGUGGUGAAAGCCCGGAGCUCAACUCCGGAACUGCCAUUGAAACUGUGAGACUGGAGUACGAGAGAGGUGAGUGGAAUUCCCAGUGUAGAGGUGAAAUUCGUAGAUAUUGGGAAGAACACCGGUGGCGAAGGCGGCUCACUGGCUCGUUUCUGACGCUCAGGCGCGACAGCGUGGGGAUCAAACAGG